rnacentral:rRNA from 1 species
AGAGUUUGAUCAUGGCUCAGAUUGAACGCUGGCGGAAUGCUUUACACAUGCAAGUCGAACGGCAGCACGGGUGCUUGCACCUGGUGGCGAGUGGCGAACGGGUGAGUAAUGCGUCGGAACGUACCGAGUAAUGGGGGAUAACGCAGCGAAAGUUGUGCUAAUACCGCAUACGCCCUGAGGGGGAAAGUGGGGGAUCGUAAGACCUCACGUUAUUCGAGCGGCCGACGUCUGAUUAGCUAGUUGGUGAGGUAAUGGCUCACCAAGGCGACGAUCAGUAGCGGGUCUGAGAGGAUGAUCCGCCACACUGGGACUGAGACACGGCCCAGACUCCUACGGGAGGCAGCAGUGGGGAAUUUUGGACAAUGGGGGCAACCCUGAUCCAGCCAUUCCGCGUGAGUGAAGAAGGCCUUCGGGUUGUAAAGCUCUUUCAGCAGGAACGAAACGGUACGCUCUAACAUAGUGUGCUAAUGACGGUACCUGCAGAAGAAGCACCGGCUAACUACGUGCCAGCAGCCGCGGUAAUACGUAGGGUGCGAGCGUUAAUCGGAAUUACUGGGCGUAAAGCGUGCGCAGGCGGAUUGUUAAGCAAGAUGUGAAAUCCCCGGGCUUAACCUGGGAAUGGCAUUUUGAACUGGCAGUCUAGAGUGUGUCAGAGGGGGGUGGAAUUCCACGUGUAGCAGUGAAAUGCGUAGAGAUGUGGAGGAACACCGAUGGCGAAGGCAGCCCCCUGGGAUAACACUGACGCUCAUGUACGAAAGCGUGGGUAGCAA